rnacentral:rRNA from 1 species
GAUGAACGCUGGCGGCGUGCUUAACACAUGCAAGUCGAACGAAGCACUUUGAAGUUUUCGGACUAAUGAGUGACUGAGUGGCGGACGGGUGAGUAACGCGUGGGUAACCUGCCUCAUAAAGGGGGAUAACAGUUAGAAAUGGCUGCUAAUACCGCAUAAGCGCACAGUACCGCAUGGUACGGUGUGAAAAACUCCGGGGGUAUGAGAUGGACCCGCGUCUGAUUAGCUAGUUGGUGAGGUAACGGCUCACCCAGGCGACGAUCAGUAGCCGACCUGAGAGAGUGAACGGCCACAUUGGGACUGAGACACGGCCCUAACUCCUACGGGAGGCAGCAGUUGGGAAUAUUGCACAAUGGGCGAAAGCCUGAUGCAGCGACGCCGCGUGAACGAAAAAGUAUGUCGGGAUGUAAAGUUCUAUCAGCAGGGGCGAAGAACGUGACGGUACCUGGAGAAAAAGCCACGGCUAACUACGUGCCAGCAGCCGCAGUAAAAC